UCAGAGUGUAAGUGUGGUGACACAUUCAGCUCGGGAGUACUAAUCGGUCGAGGGCUUGACCA
rnacentral:rRNA from 1 species